rnacentral:rRNA from 1 species
GACGAACGCUGGCGGCGUGCUUAACACAUGCAAGUCGAGCGGUAAGGCCCUUUCGGGGGUACACGAGCGGCGAACGGGUGAGUAACACGUGGGUGACCUGCCUUUAGCUCUGGGAUAAGCCUGGGAAACCGGGUCUAAUACCGGGUAUGACUCCGCGGCGCAUGUUGUGGGGUGGAAAGCCUUGUGCGGCUGGAGAUGGGCCCGCGGCCUAUCAGCUUGUUGGUGGGGUGAUGGCCUACCAAGGCGACGACGGGUAGCCGGCCUGAGAGGGCGACCGGCCACACUGGGACUGAGACACGGCCCAGACUCCUACGGGAGGCAGCAGUGGGAAUCUUGCGCAAUGGGCGAAAGCCUGACGCAGCGACGCCGCGUGAGGGAUGACGGCCUCGGUUGUAA